AUUGCCCUAGUAACGGCGAGUGAAGCGGCAACAGCUCAAAUUUGAAAUCUGGCUUCGGCCCGAGUUGUAAUUUGUAGAGGAAGCUUUUGGUGAGGCACCUUCUGAGUCCCCUGGAACGGGGCGCCAUAGAGGGUGAGAGCCCCGUAUAGUCGGAUGCCGAUCCAAUGUAAAGCUCCUUCGACGAGUCGAGUAGUUUGGGAAUGCUGCUCAAAAUGGGAGGUAAAUUUCUUCUAAAGCUAAAUACCGGCCAGAGACCGAUAGCGCACAAGUAGAGUGAUCGAAAGAUGAAAAGCACUUUGAAAAGAGGGUUAAAUAGCACGUGAAAUUGUUGAAAGGGAAGCGUUUGUGACCAGACUUGCGCCGUUCCGAUCAUCCGGUGUUCUCACCGGUGCACUCGGGACGGCUCAGGCCAGCAUCGGUUUUGGCGGGGGGACAAAGGUCCUGGGAACGUAGCUCCUCCGGGAGUGUUAUAGCCCAGGGCGUAAUGCCCUCGCCGGGACCGAGGUUCGCGCAUCUGCAAGGAUGCUGGCGUAAUGGUCACCAACGACCCGUCUUGAAACACGGACCAAGGAGUCAAGGUUUUGCGCGAGUGUUUGGGUGUAAAACCCGCACGCGUAAUGAAAGUGAACGUAGGUGAGAGCUUCGGCGCAUCAUCGACCGAUCCUGAUGUAUUCGGAUGGAUUUGAGUAAGAGCGUUAAGCCUUGGACCCGAAAGAUGGUGAACUAUGCUUGGAUAGGGUGAAGCCAGAGGAAACUCUGGUGGAGGCUCGCAGCGGUUCUGACGUGCAAAUCGAUCGUCAAAUCUGAGCAUGGGGGCGAAAGACUA
rnacentral:rRNA from 2 species